GCGUACGGGUGCGGAACACGUGUGCACCUGCCUUAUCUGGGGGAUAGCUUCGAAAGAGAUAUACCCAUAUAUGUUGAAUGGCAUCAUUCGACAUUGAAAACUCCGGUGGAUAGAGAUGGGCACGCGCAGAUAAAUAGUUGGUGAGGUAACGGUCACCAAGUCUACAAUCUUAGGGGGCUGAGAGGUGAUCCCCCACACUGGUACUGAAACACGGACCAAACUCUAACGGGAGGCACAUGAGGAAUAUUGGACAAUGGUUGAAGCCUGAUCCAACCAAUCCCGGGUGAAGGACGAUUGCCCUAUGGGUUGUAAAUUUCUUUGGUAUAGGGAUAAACCUACCCUCGUUGAGGGUAGCUGAAGGUACUAAUACGAAUAAGCACCGGUAACUCCGUGCCAGCAGCCGGGUAAUACGGAGGGUGCAAGCGUAAUCCGGAUUAUGGGGUUAAAGGGUCCGUAAGGCGGAUCUGUAAAGUCAGUGGUGAAAUCUCACAGUUAAUUGUGAAAAUUGCAUUGAUACUGGAGGUCUUGAUGUGUGAAGUAGCUGGAAUAAGUAGUGUAGCGGUGAAAUGCAUAGAUUUUACUUAGAACAACCAAUUUGCG
rnacentral:rRNA from 1 species